UAGGGAAUCUUCCACAAUGGACGCAAGUCUGAUGGAGCAACGCCGCGUGAGUGAAGAAGGUCUUCGGAUCGUAAAACUCUGUUGUUAGAGAAGAACACGAGUGAGAGUAACUGUUCAUUCGAUGACGGUNUCUAACCAGCAAGUCACGGCUAACUACGUGCCAG
rnacentral:rRNA from 1 species